CGCGUGGGAAUCUGCCCGAUUGUGGGGGAUAACCCGAGGAAACUCGGGCUAAUACCGCAUAAGCCCUGAGGGGGAAAGGUAGGGAUCUCUUCGGAGACCUGCCGCAAACGGAUGAGCCCGCGUCCGAUUAGCUUGUUGGUGAGGUAAAGGCUCACCAAGGCGACGAUCGGUAGCUGGUCUGAGAGGAUGAUCAGCCACACUGGGACUGAGACACGGCCCAGACUCCUACGGGAGGCAGCAGUGGGGAAUAUUGGACAAUGGGGGAAACCCUGAUCCAGCAAUGCCAUGUGUGUGAAGAAG
rnacentral:rRNA from 1 species